GUGCAGAAUUGGUGAUGAGAUUUGUGCAGACUUGUAUGCACUAUAUUUCUGGAAAUCAGUGCCAAGCUCAUGGACUCCACUAAUGUGAACAUCUUUCUAUGACCUUCCAGAAAAUGACGUUUAGUCAGUAUUUCUUAUGAUGUGUGUGGAAACAUAAGGUUGCACAAGAUUACGAUACAUACAAGUGGAACAUAACUAAGAUGUUCCCCAAAUGUGUCAGUAAGAUUAGAAACUCCUUCUGAAGUUCAGACAUUUAUAAUCUAAGAAUGUGGACUGUGAUACAAAGCACACGAUCCUGUAAAAGGAGUAAACACUGUUAAAUCAUCAUCAUGGUUCUCUGCCCACAGCGGAUUUUCUUAGAAGGGCUAGGGCAGACUGGUGCUUCAUUACGAUUCUAUUAACCUUGAUGUAUCUUCAUUGUUCUUCAGUCUUGGGUAUCCUACUUUUGUUA